rnacentral:rRNA from 1 species
GACGAACGCUGGCGGCGUGCAUAACACAUGCAAGUCAAGGGGGUCAGUAGCAAUACUGGCAACCGGCGAACGGGUGCGUAACACGUAAGCGACCUACCUCAAUGUGGGGCAUAGCCGGCCUAACGGCCGGGUAAUUCCGCAUGUGAUCUUGGAGGGGCAUCUCUCCGGGAUGAAACCAGUAAUGGGCAUUGAGAGGGGCUUGCGGCCUAUCAGCUUGUUGGUGAGGUAACGGCUCACCAAGGCUACGACGGGUAGCUGGUCUGAGAGGAUGGCCAGCCACAUUGGGACUGAGAACGGCCCAGACUCCUACGGGAGCAGCAGUGGGGAAUAUUGGACAAUGGGCGCAAGCCUGAUCCAGCAAUGCCGCGUGAGUGAAGAAGGUCUUCGGAUUGUAAGC